rnacentral:lncRNA from 1 species
AGGGGGGUCUGGUUUUAUAGUCCCUUCAAGUGAAUCUGGGCCGUCGGAUCAAACCGACAUUGAUCGUGUGGUUUUCCUUGAAGUAUUAGGUCGGUGGAGUGUUGUCCCCGAAUUGGACUCUGUUUGGUCCAGGGGGGAGGGCGGGCGCCCAGUGCCUGAGCCCUCUCGGCCUCCGCUUCGGUCCCGUGGCUUCUGGAGUCUUCUAGAUGGUAGAUAAUUGUGCGGCACAUUAAUAUCUCUAUGUAAACCCGACGUGUGGGCCUUUCUUCCGUAUUUCCUGAUAACCCCCUGCAGAAAUAGACAAACACCAAAACUUGUGGAAUUCUGUCAGAUAAAACCCUAAGUCUAGGUGUUGGUUGCAUUUGGAUCCUUUUCUAUGAUUAAAUAUGAGCAUUAAGGACCGUCAACAAUUACGGAGGUAGCAACCUCACAUAGUAACUUGGGGUAGCAAUCCCAUUAAGGUCAUGGGAUAGCAAUCCCAAAUAGGAACAUAGGAUAGCAAUCCUGCAUAACACGAGGUGCUUAUCAUAUUUAUUAUGUGGCUA